rnacentral:rRNA from 1 species
CCCUCUGGGGUGCACCAGGCGAAGGGGCUCGAGUUCGAUGUCGUCUUCCUGAUCAUGCUGUGCGAAGGCAUGUUCCCCAACGCACGCUCGUUGGAGCACCCGGACGCCCUCGAAGAGGAGAGGCGCUUGCUGUAUGUCAGCAUUACACGCGCUCGAAACGAACUGUAUCUUUGUUAUCCGGCGCUCCGUGCAGGCUAUGGAGGCGGCGACCUGCUUCAGUCACCUUCGCGGUUCCUGAGCGAGAUCCCGCGCGACCUUCUGGAGGAAUGGAAUCUCAGGCACUUCUGAGGGGUCACGGACCACCGGGAGAGGAGUCCCGCAACCGUUUGAGAUCUUCUGCGAGAAAGGCAGUCAACGCCUUGAAUUUCGCUACAUUGGCGGGAGAGC